AGAGUUUGAUCCUGGCUCAGGACGAACGCUGGCGGCGUGCUUAACACAUGCAAGUCGAACGGUAAGGCCCCUUCGGGGGUACACGAGUGGCGAACGGGUGAGUAACACGUGAGCAACCUGCCCUUGACUUCGGAAUACCAGCUGGAAACAGCUGCUAAUACCGGAUAUGACCUCGACUCUAUUGGGUUGGGGUGGAAAGCUCCGGCGGUCAGGGAUGGGCUCGCGGCCUAUCAGCUUGUUGGUGAGGUAAUGGCUCACCAAGGCUUCGACGGGUAGCCGGCCUGAGAGGGCUACCGGCCACACUGGGACUGAGAUACGGCCCAGACUCCUACGGGAGGCAGCAGUGGGGAAUAUUGCACAAUGGGCGCAAGCCUGAUGCAGCAACGCCGCGUGCGGGAUGACGGCCUUCGGGUUGUAAACCGCUUUCAGUAGGGACGAAGCUAACGUGACGGUACCUACAGAAGAAGGACCGGCUAACUACGUG
rnacentral:rRNA from 1 species